rnacentral:rRNA from 1 species
CCUACGGGGGGCAGCAGUCGAGAAUCAUUCACAAUGGGGGAAACCCUGAUGGUGCGACGCCGCGUGGGGGAAUGAAGGUCUUCGGAUUGUAAACCCCUGUCAUGUGGGAGCAAAUUAAAAAGAUAGUACCACAAGAGGAAGAGACGGCUAACUCUGUGCCAGCAGCCGCGGUAAUACAGAGGUCUCAAGCGUUGUUCGGAAUCACUGGGCGUAAAGCGUGCGUAGGCUGUUUCGUAAGUCGUGUGUGAAAGGCCCGGGCUCAACCCGCGGACGGCACAUGAUACUGCGAGACUAGAGUAAUGGAGGGGGAACCGGAAUUCUCGGUGUAGCAGGGAAAUGCGUAGAUAUCGAGAGGAACACUCGUGGCGAAGGCGGGUUCCUGGACAUUAACUGACGCUGAGGCACGAAGGCCAGGGGAGCGAAAGGGAUUAGAUACCCGUGUAGUC